UAGCGCAUGCGUGUGACGCUGUUUGGCGAAACAUGCAGCCAUUUGAAUGAUUUGAUCGCCAAUAUUAUUGGACAUCAUGGAAAGGAAGAGGAUUAUUUUAGCGGAUGUUUAUGUGGAGUUGUUUGGGUGCAGUUAUGAGCUGGAAGCUGAGAGAUGCUUCAGUGGCUUCUAGCAAGGACUAGCUACGAUGUUUGCAUCACAAAUCACUGGAUGUUUCCAUUCACUGCUGAAAAAUUUGUAAUCCUGCUACAAAUACUUUUAGAUGCAGCAGUGAUCUACGUCCCUGAACAGAGGGCAGGAGGAUGGGGAGAGACUGGUGAUGUGCAGGUUAUGGUAGCACCAGCCCCCAGUAUGGAAGAUCCAGUUCUGUAUUCUGCUGCUGAGUUUCACGCUUGCACCCUGGCUCCACCCACCCCGAGAGAGAAUAAAAGGAAGUGGAAUGAAGACCACCAGAAGAGGCUAGCGAGGAGAGCUGCGAGAUUUGUUUUGGAGACAUGUUUGUAAUAGUUUGGUUUGAUAAUUGACCUGGCGUAUGACCUUGCUUUCUGAUUUGACCUUGCCCUUGCCUUUGCCCUUAUAGUUAGUUAGUUUCACUUUGUUUCAUUGUUGUGUUUUCGCUGCUAAAUAGGGAGUGACUGCCAUUUUGUUUGUGGUGUGGUUUUGGCUUGUUUAUCACCCAGGGAGAAAGUUUAGUUGUGCUUGUAUUUUCCUUUGUCUGUAUAGGUUUAGGCAGUCUGGGUUGGUUUGUUACUUUGGCCUGGGUCACUUUUCACGUUAUAUUCCAGUGUCACAAUAUCUCUUUAUAUAUGCACUUCAGUGGAAUGCUGAAGUCGUGUAGUGAGAAGGGUUUUAUGCACGUCUUUGAAUUAUUUUUGGGAAGACCUAGACUGCAGUGAAGUGCUGCGAUAGUGACUGGAAUUUCAGUCAGUUUUGUUCUUGUUCUUUUGGUCUCUCACUUUUUGUCUCUAGGGGUGAACUCAACACAAUUAAGGAAGCCUCUCAGAAACAAAAGUAUUCAAAUGACACAUACAGUACAAUGGUUGUGCAUCCAAGACAUGUGAAUUUGUCAUUAAAAAUGUUGGCGAUUCCAAAAAUGUGGCUCUGACAGCUAUGAAUGCUUAGCACAUAAAAUUGUAUUAAAAUGUCUUGAGAUAAAAUAAUAAAUUCAUUUAUUAGUAUGGAGCUGAACCACUAUAGUGCCAAAUUGAACUGGAAGGAUAAAUUAUUUAUUUUUUGUAUAGAAAUUAUAUUGGUAGAACAGAGUUGUAUAGUUAUAUAAAGUUUUUACAAUAACACUAUUUUCAUGUCACUCAAGGUAGAAAAUGUCAAUAUAAGACACACUUUGUCCCUUCAUCCAUUUGCUGUCUACCUGUGUGAUGAUGACAGUUCUUUAUGACCUACAGAGUAAGCAAUGUGAUGGGUAAAUAUCAGUGUAUACAUAUCAUAAUGCAAACGAACAUGAAUGUGUCUUCCAGGAUUUCACAUUAUUUUAUCUGACAGUUGAAGCAGCUCUACAAUGAUGCAUGUUAAAAUGUCUAGUCUUGGCUCCCAGUCCAUCUGAACAUGCAGUUUACUCUGACACAUCAGCUAAGAGAUGCCUGUAAACGGCUGUAAAUGUUGUGUUUGCAUUCACAUUUAUGGAAUUUAGCUGACGCUUUUAGCCAAAGCGACUUACAAUUAUGAAUCAUUAUGUCUGUACACAAUAAUUAUUUGUCCAAUUAUUGGUACACACUAAUUGUCUAGAUUUAUCUCAGGUUCACGCAAGCCUAAUGUACAUAGUGAUUGGCCCUGUUUACAUUUGGUUUUAAAAUGCAUCUUGGGCAGUCGGAUCAAAGUGGAAAGCCAAAACACAUCAAUAUUUACAUUUCUCUUGUGUCACCAAGGUGUCCAGCUGUCUUUAGAUUUCCUUAAUGCCCAUGUCACUUCCGCUAAAAGGUCAAAGGGCACCACGCAGUUAAAACGCGCUGCUUAUGUGAAAAUGUACCUAAUCAGCAAAUGUGAAGUGAAGCAUGAUGUUCACUGCUGUCAGUGUGUGCCUGAUCUGAGAUUAUAUCUUGUUCCACCUUUUAACAGUGUGAUUAAAAAGUUUAAAUUAUAUUAGAGGAAUGUGCAGACAAAUUGUAUUUUAAAGCUUGCCUUUACCGAAAGCCGACAUUUAGUGCAGAUUAAAAAAAAAUCAGAAUCCCAAAAUCAAGAACCGAACACCUAUUUGACAAAACGAGUGUCCGAAUAUUUGAAUAUUUGGAUCCAACCCUAAUCAACAUAGGCUUAA